GGCAACCCUGACGGAGCAACGCCGCGUGUGGGAGGACGGCCUUCGGGUUGUAAACCACUUUUCUCAGGGAAGAAACCUGACGGUACCUGAGGAAUCAGCAUCGGCUAACUCCGUGCCAGCAGCCGCGGUAAUACGGAGGAGGCAAGCGUUAUCCGGAAUUAUUGGGCGUAAAGCGUCCGCAGGUGGCGAUUCAAGUCUGCUGUCAAAGCACGGGGCUUAACUCCGUUAAGGCAGUGGAAACUGAAUGGCUAGAGUGCCGUAGGGGUAGAGGGAAUUCCCGGUGUAGCGGUGAAAUGCGUAGAGAUCGGGAAGAACAUCGGUGGCGAAGGCGCUCUACUGGGCCGCAACUGACGCUGAGGGACGAAAGCUAGGGGAGCG
rnacentral:rRNA from 1 species